rnacentral:snRNA from 1 species
AUGCUUGCUUCAGCAGCACAUAUACUAACUUUGGAAUGAUACAGAGAAGAUUAGCAUGGACCCUGCGCAAGGAUGACACGCAAAUUCAUGAAAUAUUCCAUUAAAAA